rnacentral:lncRNA from 1 species
GAGGAAGCAUAAAAUUCAAAGUUCAUUUUAUUGAGGCAAGAUGGAGAUUUAUGUUCCCUUUAAAUACAACUUUAUUCUUUAGUGGUAUUUCAAUAAUGUUACACAGGAAAUUAAGCGUGUGUCCUCCUAUGCUCUCCCAAGCUCAUCUGUUACUUUCUAAUGAGGAUUCCAAAUUGCUCAAACCAAUCCCUGAGGCGGGCAUGUAGUUAAGAGGCUCCUUUUUGUCCAUCAAUCUGCAUAAAAGCAGCCAAGGAAACCACCUCUUCUCCUCCCCCUAUCCUUGUUGCAGCACCUGAAGCCCAGUCUGCACACUGCAGCAUGGUGCCAGUGGCUGUAUGCGAGUAGGGCUGGCUUUUGUGGGCAGAGGUGAGGAGCUACUUGUGCAAAGGGGAAAAGCAAGUGGGAAAGCCAUCGUGGGUUUAUCAACUUGGAUAUGCACCCUCUUCCCCCCCCCACAUGGCAGCACAAGCCCACACAAGUGAGUUCUGGUGGAGGUUGCAGCCAUUUUUCUCAGCCCAGAAGAGCUCUGCGUUCUUUGCUGCUUCAGUGAAGUAGGUCAAGGCAAAAGCAGCCUGCCCACAUCUCCUCUCCAUGAUCACAAGUAUCACCUGGAUACAAAAACAAAACAGGAAGAGCAGCCCAGAGCCAGAGCUGCAGCCAAUGGAGAGGGACCCACGGUGGGGCAGGAGAGAUGCUGCCCAUUGGGCACCCAUGUGGAGCAGUGCCUGAAAGGUGGGUCCUGUGGUAGGAAGUGGCUGAGGUGGAGUUUUGUUGUCUAUCAGGGUGAAUCCACCACAAUGCCUUGGAUAUUCACCUGUUCCAAUGCAUUUUUUGUUGCAAAAUUAAAUAAUCAUUGCUGAGGAAGGCCAGCUUUUACUUCCCACCUCCUUAGAGAAGACAACACAACAAAACUUCCAAACAAGAUGUCUUUCUUAGGAAAUCCUACAUUUCCUAAGGUCUCCCUAUAUAUAAACAUAUAUAUAUAUAUAUAUUUUUUUUUUUUCUGAAAGAGAAACGAAAUCACAAAUCUAUACAUAAAUAAAUCUAGGGAGUGCAGCA